GAUCCUGCUCAGGAUGAACGCUAGCUACAGGCUUAACACAUGCAAGUCGAGGGGCAGCAUCAUCAAAGCUUGCUUUGAUGGAUGGCGACCGGCGUACGGGUGAGUAACACGUAUCCAACCUGCCGACAACACUGGGAUAGCCUUUCGAAAGAAAGAUUAAUACCGGAUGGCAUAAUUAUUCCGCAUGGGAUAAUUAUUAAAGAAUUUCGGUUGUCGAUGGGGAUGCGUUCCAUUAGG
rnacentral:rRNA from 1 species